CUGCGUGGAAGGGCCAUCGCUCAACGGAUAAAAGCUACCCUGGGGAUAACAGGCUUAUCUCCCCCAAGAGUCCACAUCGACGGGGAGGUUUGGCACCUCGAUGUCGGCUCAUCACAUCCUGGGGCUGCAGUAGGUCCCAAGGGUUGGGCUGUUCGCCCAUUAAAGUGGUACGCGAGCUGGGUUCAGCACGUCGUGAGACAGUUCGGUCCCUAUCCGUCGCAGGCGUAGGAAAUUUGAGAAGACCUGUCCUUAGUACGAGAGGACCGGGAUGGACGUACCUCUGGUGUACCAGUUGUCCUGCCAAGGGCAUGGCUGGGUAGCUAUGU
rnacentral:rRNA from 1 species